rnacentral:rRNA from 1 species
UACGAAGGGGGCUAGCGUUGCUCGGAAUCACUGGGCGUAAAGCGCACGUAGGCGGACUCUUAAGUCAGGGGUGAAAUCCUGGAGCUCAACUCCAGAACUGCCUUUGAUACUGGGAGUCUUGAGUCCGGAAGAGGUAAGUGGAACUGCGAGUGUAGAGGUGAAAUUCGUAGAUAUUCGCAAGAACACCAGUGGCGAAGGCGGCUCACUGGCCCGGAACUGACGCUGGGACGCGAAAGCGUGGGGAGCAAACAGG